CUUGACGAUCAUAGAGCGUUGGAACCACCUUAUCCCUUCCCGAACUCAGACGUGACACGCCGCAUCGCCGAUGGGAGUGUGGGGUCGCCCCAUGUGAGAGGAGGUCAUCGUCAAGC
rnacentral:rRNA from 1 species